GUCUAUGGCCAUACCACCCUGAACGUGCCCGAUCUCAUCUGAUCUCGGAAGCUAAGCAGGGUCGGGCCUGGUUAGUACUUGGGUGGGAGACC
rnacentral:rRNA from 1 species